rnacentral:sRNA from 1 species
AUCAUGUUGAAUUUUUCCCAAUGGUAAUCUUAUGAUGGCUGCAGCUACCUGUUAACUUCAACAAGCACAGUGGCCUGGAGACUACAUGAUGGUGUAUCAGUGAUGGAUUUACAACUGCAAACAUCUGAAGCAGCAGUGCCACAUCCCUGCUACCUCCCUGCUUGUGCGUGUGUCCCUACAUUAUCCAAAAUAGGGGUGGGCUAAUGACGAUUGCAGGCUAACUCCAGCCCACCACUUGCUUCUAUAAAUAAAAUCUUAUUGUACACAAA